CCUACGGGUGGCAGCAGUGAGGAAUAUUGGUCAAUGGACGAGAGUCUGAACCAGCCAAGUAGCGUGAAGGAUGACUGCCCUAUGGGUUGUAAACUUCUUUUAUAUGGGAAUAAAACGUUCCACGUGUGGGAUUUUGUAUGUACUAUAUGAAUAAGGAUCGGCUAACUCCGUGCCAGCAGCCGCGGUAAUACGGAGGAUCCGAGCGUUAUCCGGAUUUAUUGGGUUUAAAGGGAGCGUAGGUGGAUUGUUAAGUCAGUUGUGAAAGUUUGCGGCUCAACCGUAAAAUUGCAGUUGAAACUGGCAGUCUUGAGUACAGUAGAGGUGGGCGGAAUUCGGGGUGUAGCGGUGAAAUGCUUAGAUAUCACGAAGAACUCCGAUUGCGAAGGCAGUUCACUGGACUGCAACUGACACUGAGGCUCGAAAGUGUGGGUAUCAAACAGGAUUAGAUACCCCAGUAGUC
rnacentral:rRNA from 1 species